rnacentral:tRNA from 1 species
GCGGGGGUCGCCGAGCUAGGUCAAAGGCGCAGGCUUCAGGAGCCUGUCCCGUAGGGGUUCGUGGGUUCGAAUCCCACUCCCCGCACCA